rnacentral:rRNA from 1 species
ACAGUAUAGGACCCUUAACGGAUACUAUAAUUGCAAUGAGAACAAUUCAAAAACCUUAACGAUAAACAAUUGGAGGGCAAGCCUGGUGCCAGCAGCCGCGGUAAUUCCAGCUCCAAUAGCGUAUAUUAAUGUUGUUGCAGUUAAAAAGCUCGUAGUUGGAUUUCGGAGAGCACUAGGGUCGCGGUCCAGCGCAAUGCCGUGUUUACCGCACCUAGGCCUCCUCCUUUCAAACGCGAGCCCCAUUCCUUAACUGGUUUGGGUGUUUUCUCGCUUUGGAACGUUUACUUUGAAAAAAUUAGAGUGUUUAAAGCAGGCGUAAACCUAGCCUUUGAAUACAUUAGCAUGGGAUAAUGGAAUAGGAUUGUGGUGCCUAUUUUCCGUUGGUUUCUAGUGUCUACAAUAAUGAUUAAAAGGGACAGUCGGGGGUAUUAGUAUUUAGUUGUCAGAGGUGAAAUUCUAAGAUUUACUAAGGACUGACUACUGCGAAAGCAUUUACCAAGGAUGUUUUCAUUAAUCAAGAACGAAAGUUGGGGGAUCGAAGACGAUUAGAUACCGUCGUAGUCCUAACCUUAAACGAUGCCGACCAGGAAUUCGGAAAAGUUACAUGGAUGACUUUCCGGGCGCCUUGUGAGAAAUCACAAGUAUUCGGGCUCCGGGGGGAGUAUGGUCGCAAGGCUGAAACUUAAAGGAAUUGACGGAAGGGCACCACCAGGCGUGGAACCUGCGGCUUAAUUUGACCCAACACGGGAAAACUUACCAGGACAAGACACGGGAAUGAUUGACAGAUUAAAAGCUCUUUCAUGAUUCCGUGGGUGGUGGUGCAUGGCCGUUUCCAGUUGGUGGAGUGAUUUGUCAGGUUAAUUCCGAUAACGAACGAGACCUUAGCCUGCUAAAUAGUAGUGCCAAAUGCGUGGCCUUCGGGCUUUGCCUUGGCAUAUACUUCUUAGAGGGACCGCGAGAUCAAAGCUCGCGGAAGCUUGAGGCCAAAACAGGUCUGUGAUGCCCCUAGAUGCCCUGGGCUGCACGCGCGUUACACUGAUGCAUUCAACGAGUUUUUAUCCUUGCCCGAAAGGGCCGGGUAAUCUUAUGAAAGUGCAUCGUGCUUGGGAUAGACGAUUGCAAUUAUUCGUCUUGAACGAGGAAUGCCUAGUAAUCGCAAGUCAUCAACUUGCGCUGAUUACGUCCCUGCCCUUUGUACACACCGCCCGUCGCUCCUACCGAUUGAAUGGUCCGGCAAGAGCUUCGGAUAGUCGGGUGGCGGCCCUGCCCACCGGCGGGGACGCCCCUGCGCUAAAAGUUGUU